rnacentral:rRNA from 1 species
UACGUAGGGAGCAAGCGUUGUCCGGAAUCAUUGGGCGUAAAGCGCGCGUAGGUGGCCUCAUAAGUCCGCUGUGAAAGUCAAAGGCUCAACCUUUGAAAGCCGGUGGAUACUGUGGGGCUAGAGUCCGGAAGAGGCGAGUGGAAUUCCUGGUGUAGCGGUGGAAUGCGCAGAUAUCAGGAGGAACACCAAUAGCGAAGGCAGCUCGCUGGGACGGUACUGACGCUAAGGCGCGAAAGCGUGGGGAGCGAACAGG